ACCUGGCUGGCUCAGUUGGAAGAGCAUGUGACUCUCAAUCUCAGGGUCGUGAGUUCAAGCCCCAUGUUGGGCA
rnacentral:tRNA from 1 species